CGCUACAGGUGUCCCAAAGAUUCUCCAACGUCCCCUUAAUAAUGUGUGGAAGUGUGUAUAUAUAAUACUUUAUUCCUACUCCUAUUGGGAUUAAAAGAUGUAAAGAUUCCCAUAUUCCUAAGCUGCCUAAAAAUGUGGGGAAAAUAUUAUAAAAUAGGAGCGUGAAAUAGCGUGCAAUUGAGCAUGUAAGUAGAGCAUGCGACUCAUCCCUUAGAGCACGGCAAUGAAGCAUGCGACGCACGCUAUACUGCACAGUAAUGGACCAUGCGAUGCAUCCUUAUCUCUGGCAGCCACUAGAAGUUGAUCUCAUAAUAUUUUCUAAGGCACAAGAGCACUGAAUUGGAGCAGAGCACUGAAUUGGAGCAGGUGUCACACGCUCAUCGUACGCACACACUGGAAGUUGAGUUCAAAAUUUUAGUGAAGUCUUUAUCGUCCCAUCUUUCAUCUCUUGUAUCGUGG
rnacentral:lncRNA from 1 species